CAAAAGAGAGUUGAAAAACUCCCAAACCCCUGUGAAUAUACCUGUAUAGUUGCUUCGGCGGGCAGCCCCAGGGCGGGGCCCCGGCCUUUUAUAGGUGCCCGCCGACAGCCUUACAAACUCUUUUUUUCAGUAUCUCUGAGUUAAAAACAAAAAUAAGUCA
rnacentral:misc_RNA from 1 species